AGAGUUUGAUCCUGGCUCAGGACGAACGCUGGCGGCGUGCUUAACACAUGCAAGUCGAACGGUAAGGCCCUUCGGGGUACACGAGUGGCGAACGGGUGAGUAACACGUGGGUAAUCUGCCCUGCACAUCGGGAUAAGCCUGGGAAACUGGGUCUAAUACCGAAUAGGACCACAGGACACAUGUCCUGUGGUGGAAAGCUUUUGCGGUGUGGGAUGGGCCCGCGGCCUAUCAGCUUGUUGGUGGGGUGAUGGCCUACCAAGGCGACGACGGGUAGCCGGCCUGAGAGGGUGUCCGGCCACACUGGGACUGAGAUACGGCCCAGACUCCUACGGGAGGCAGCAGUGGGGAAUAUUGCACAAUGGGCGAAAGCCUGAUGCAGCGACGCCGCGUGGGGGAUGACGGCCUUCGGGUUGUAAACCUCUUUCACCAUCGACGAAGGUCCGGGUUUUCUCGGGCUGACGGUAGGUGGAGAAGAAGCACCAGCCAACUACGUGCCAGCAGCCGCGGUAAUACGUAGGGUGCGAGCGUUGUCCGGAAUUACUGGGCGUAAAGAGCUCGUAGGUGGUUUGUCGCGUUGUUCGUGAAAUCUCACGGCUUAACUGUGAGCGUGCGGGCGAUACGGGCAGACUUGAGUACUGCAGGGGAGACUGGAAUUCCUGGUGUAGCGGUGGAAUGCGCAGAUAUCAGGAGGAACACCAGUGGCGAAGGCGGGUCCCUGGGCAGUAACUGACGCUGAGGAGCGAAAGCGUGGGGAGCGAACAGGAUUAGAUACCCUGGUAGUCC
rnacentral:rRNA from 1 species